rnacentral:rRNA from 1 species
UACGUAGGCACCAAGCGUUGUCCGGAUUUAUUGGGCGUAAAGAGCUCGUAGGCGGUUCGGUAAGUCGGGUGUGAAAACUCUGGGCUCAACCCAGAGAGGCCACCCGAUACUGCCGUGACUGGAGUGCGGUAGGGGAGUGGGGAAUUCCUGGUGUAGCGGUGAAAUGCGCAGAUAUCAGGAGGAACACCAGUGGCGAAGGCGGGUCUCUGGGCCGAUACUGACGCUGAGGAGCGAAAGCGUGGGGAGCGAACAGG